AUGGACGCCGCGGUGUCCCCCUCCCUCGCCGAGCUUUUUGUCUGCAGCGAAACGUGCGAGCAACGGCAACGUGGGAAACACCGGCCAGCCCAAACGUGCCGCUCCUUCCGGCGAGCCGGCACCCCCAACCAACCGCAACCGCCUCCUCCGCCCUAUAUGAACCCACGCUCCACCACGCGGCAGACACAUCCGCUCCAGGCCUCCAGCAAUACACCAUUCCAGCUCCACCACGCGGUCAACAGACGAAACAACACAUCCGGAUCCAAAACUCCCAGCCUCCCACAGCUCCGCCGCGGCUCAUCCCCGUCGAUCGACCUUGCGAUCGAUUCCGUUUCUUGCCGCGCGUGCGCGCACAGCACAUCCAUGGCUGUCGCCGGAGGAGGAGGAGGAAUGGCGCUGAGCCUGCGGGCGCCGUCGACCUCGGCGUCGCCGGCGGUGGGGCGGCUGCGUAGGGCGGCGUCGUCGCCGGCGGUGAGGUGCGGGGCGACGCGGGAAAGGUGGCCGGCGGCGGCCCCGUACAGGGUGCUGGAGGAGGACCACUACCGCACUCUGAGGCUGCAGCCGGGGGCAUCCAGGGGCGAGGUCAAGAAGGCCUUCCACCGCCUCGCGCUGCAGUACCACCCGGACGUCGUGCGCCAAGACGACGGCAUCGACUUCGAGCGGAUCAACGCGGCGUACCAGAAAGUGAUGAGCAACAUGCGGGAGGCGGAGGCGACGCUCGAGUACUGGCGCCGCCGCUACGGCCUCGCCGACGAGGACCUCGACCGCUACCGCCACUACCUCAACGAGGAGGACGAGGACGACUGGUUCUCCGACUUCAGAAGUCUCAAGGGCCGCGUGCACGGCCAACGGCCAUUCCUGGCAUGGCAGAGGCGGCAGCGCUGUAAAUAA
rnacentral:rRNA from 1 species